rnacentral:rRNA from 1 species
UACGUAGGGUGCGAGCGUUAAUCGGAAUUACCGGGCGUAAAGCGUGCGCAGGCGGUGAGUUAAGUCUGAUGUGAAAGCCCCGGGCUCAACCUGGGAAUGGCAUUGGAAACUGGCUCGCUGGAGUGUGGCAGAGGGGGGUGGAAUUCCGCGUGUAGCAGUGAAAUGCGUAGAGAUGCGGAGGAACACCGAUGGCGAAGGCAGCCCCCUGGGCCAACACUGACGCUCAGGCACGAAAGCGUGGGGAGCAAACAGG